rnacentral:rRNA from 1 species
UACGAAGGGGGCUAGCGUUGCUCGGAAUCACUGGGCGUAAAGCGCACGUAGGCGGUCUUUUAAGUCAGGGGUGAAAUCCUGGAGCUCAACUCCAGAACUGCCUUUGAUACUGAGGAGCUCGAGUCCGGAAGAGGUGAGUGGAACUGCGAGUGUAGAGGUGAAAUUCGUAGAUAUUCGCAAGAACACCAGUGGCGAAGGCGGCUCACUGGUCCGGUACUGACGCUGAGGUGCGAAAGCGUGGGGAGCAAACAGG